rfam:Gossypium arboreum cultivar AKA8401 contig_17402_3, whole genome shotgun sequence.
AUGCGCAAGAAUUGACGGGUGCUAUCACCGGAUCCCAUCAGAACUCCGCAGUUAAGCGUGCUUGGGCGAGAGUAGUACUAGGAUGGGUGACCUCCUGGGAAGUCUUCGUGUUGCACCCC